GCUAGGACAAACUUAAAUGUACUUUACCUUAUGUCCUAUGUGAGAGAGCUACCUCACUCGCCCUGGCCUGUCGUUCUGCUUCCUAGAUCAAGUUGUGCCCUUUAGAUAGAGCCAAUUUCACGGCUAAGGCUGGUAAUAAGGGGAAGGGGGGGGAAAGGAAUGUAAAGCUGGUGUUAGGAGUUUGAGGCUUCAGACCCCACAAGUGGAAUUGGCAAAAGCUGAAUUCCAUGCUGUGCCUCUUUGCACAAGAAGCAGGGAAGAUCCUGGAUUUUCAGCCGAGGCAGCUUCCAGGCUGUCGCUAUAUUACAGCCUCCCUGCAAACAAAUCAGAAUGAAUCCUCAGUUACCAGUAAACGUCAUAUAACUGCCCUGCAAACUUUGUGCAAAGAAGUCUGAAGUAAUGCUCAACAAGCAAGUUAUCUGCAGGCAGUCCCAGUCAUAUGGUUGCCUUUUGCUGUGGACUUCCCUGUAAUGAAGUAAGAUGCAACUUCUGUGCUUCUUAUACCAGCCUGGGGAUUGUAUAAUAAGCUAUACUAUCCAUUCUGAAGGAAAUCAGCCCUGAGUGCUCACUGGAAGGACAGAUCCUGAAGCUGAGGCUCCAAUACUUUGGCCACCUCAUGAGAAGAGAGGACUCCCUGGAAAAGAUCCUGACGUUGGGAAAGAUGGAGGGCACAAGGAGAAGGGGACGACAGAGGACAAGAUGGUUGGACAGUGUUCUCGAAACUACCAACAAGAGUCUGACCAAACUGCGGGAGGCAGUGGAAGACAGGAAUGCCUGGCGUGCUCUGGUCCAUGGGGUCAUGAAGAGUCGGACACAACUAAACGACUAAACAACAACAACAACAAUUGGAAUGUAAAAUGCGAGGUUUUUUUCUGGGUUACAACUCAGUACUCCAGAUAGUUCUCUGGGUGGCACAGAUGCUGGUAUUAUUAAUAUUAAUUUAUUUUAGAAUGUUUUAGGGUCAAUUUAGUCCCAGCGGUAAAGCUGGAAUAACUAGGCACCCACCUAGUGAGGGUUCUAACAUUAUAUGAACACAGCUUAGAAGGCAAGACCAGGUCGACAUGAAAUGCUCGACUCCAUGUGUAGCAAGUCUUACAACCCUGACAGUAAUUCCUUGCAAUCAAAACCUGAGCCCGAGAAGAAUCUAAGGGAUAUCCAGUGACCCUCAGAGAUGUGACAUAAAUAUGCUCUUGUUUACUUCUCUGCUUUCUCUUCCACAGACUCUUCUCUUCUGCUACUUUGUCGCACUUACUGGUAAAGUCAAGCUGACGAGACUGACAGAUUUACAGUAUUUCUCUUUCAUUUAAUGGACAUGAGACUGGGUGACUUCUGCCGCAUUGAUCCAAAGCAGCUCCUAUACUUUCAGAAAGAGAAUCACUUGAAGAUCCCAAGCAUGUCCUUUUUCUUCUGUUUCUCCAGGCGAUGCAGCUGAGGAAGCUUGAAGAACAGCCUCGCAACAUCCGAAGAAGCCUGAACUUUCACGUCGGCACUGCAAAAAUAUGCAGGUGGCAUUCAUAAAUUAGAAUUUUCUAAACAGGGCCCUUGGAACUUGAGCAGUCAUACAUUGCAGUCACAAAGCUGUGAAUUUUCUGAUUUUUGUCACACUCUAAUAAGAUUAACGCCCCCCCCCCACAUACGCCAAAGUUAAAUUCACUCCUGCUGGCGGAAUUGCAGAAGUAAUUUCUCUGACAAUAGAAAUCUAAAACUUUUGAGAUUUCCUGCCCAUUGGGAUGGAAUGCAAUUUAUCAAUUCCCAUUAACUCCAGUCACCAAUAAGAGAUGCCUUUAUUUUCCUCUUAGGGAGUAUAAAAUGCAUACCACCUAUAUUUUAUGUGCUGGCAUGAAUUUCUCCAUUCAAAUGGCAAAAGCACCUUGUUUCUGAAACCUCCCCUGAAAGAGAGAAGCAUCACUUUUGGUAGCACUUCUUAUUUGCUGUGCGGCUCUCACAAGCAGAAUUAUGAAGUGUGUGAAGUCUGCUUACAUUUGACUGUGCCAAGACCCUUUGAGGUAUUCCAUGGGUGCUUUGGGCUUUUCCGGUCCCUCUCCGUUUUGUAUAUGCAUCUUUUCUCAGCACCAACUUUUCCUAGACUAUGGCCGCAGUCCUUGACUUGGGAGAAGGUCCCAUCAAAUAUAGCAGGACUUACUUCUGAGGAAAAAUACAUAGGAUUGUGUUGUAUGGCUGUAAUGCUUCACUUACUUAGGAACAUAGGCAGCUGCCUUUAUACUGAUAGACAAGACUGCGCUAGAUAGACCAAUAGUCUGCUAGCUCAGUCUUGUCUACACUGAAUGGCAGUGGCUCUCCAGGGCAUAGCUGCCAAGUCUCCUGUUUUCCCCGGGAAAUCCCCGUUUUUCCAGCUGUUCCUAACUUUGUUUUUCCCCGGUUUAUUCUGGCGCGGCGCCAUUUUGGAACUGGGCAGAGCUUGCUCAGAAGCGACUUUUGAUGCUGCUCUGCCCAGUUCCAAAAUGGCUGCAGUGCGACUUCUGGCGCGGCGGCCAUUUGGGAACUGGGCAAAGCAGCAUCAAACGUCACUUCUGAGCAUGCUCCACCCAGUUCCAAAAUGGCGGCAGCGCUACUUCCGGUCUGCUAUUUCUGGCCGGUCCCUUAUUUCUCUGACAGCAACUUGGCAGGUAUGCUCCAGAGUCUCAGGUUGGGGGUACUCCUAGCCCUACUUGGAGAUGCCGGGAAUUGGACUUGGGACCUUCUGCAUGCAAAGUGGAUGCUGUGCCACUGAGGUAUGGCCUUAGUGUGAUUUUUGUUUAAGAAAACAUGUCCAGGCUUGGGCUGCCCAUGGAACUACAGUGGAGCUGUUCCCAAGUGAGUGUUUUCAAACUGCAUUUGCAUCUUUUCUGUCUGUGGAGCAACCUCUAUAAAGGACACCAGAGAGGGGCAACCAGCUGUGGCUCCUGAUGGGUGUUUAUUGUGAGAUUGGUGCAGCUCGUGCAUGCAAGGUUUUCACAGCAGCCACACGACGCCACAUUGGCAUCCAAAUGCCAGGCCACAUUCCUCCCCGUUUAAUCUGGAUUUACCCUUUUGGCAAAAAACCACAGAUAAGUUUUUUUUAAAAAAACUCAAUGCUGUUGCCAACAAUCUGUUUCCAGUUUGUGAACAGGCUGCUUGCAAUGUUAAUUCCCAGGCAGAGAGGACCUACUGCUCUGCAGAUGAGGGCCAAGUUACAUGUUACACAGGAGAUAACUUGACUGGAUAUCCUGUCACAUUUUGCUUGUCUGAAAAGCAGGUUCCACCAAUUUGGUUCAGGGACAUGAAGCAGAGGGGAUUUAAUCCUUUAUUACAUACCUAGAUGCAAAUCCCCUUGCCCCCUGCAGCUAAUACAACUGCAGGUGUUGGUGAGUGUGUUGUAUUGGGAACCAAGAUCAUGGCCAGUGGUCCCGUCACCUUCUGAUUAGAAGGGGAAGAAAUGGAGGCAGUGAGAGAUUUUACUUUCUUGGGUUCCAUGAUCACUGCAGAUGGUGAUAGCAGUCAUGAAAUUAAAAGAUGCCUGCUUCUUGGGAGAAAAGCAAUGACAAAUCUAGACAGCAUCUUAAAAAGCAGAGACAUCACCUUGCCGACAAAGGUCCGUAUAGUUAAAGCUAUGGUUUUCCCAGUAGUGAUGUAUAGAAAUGAGAGCUGGACCAUAAAGAAGGCUGAAAGCCGAAGAAUUGAUGCUUUUGAAUUAUGGUGCUGGAGGAGACUCUUGAGAGUCCCAUGGACUGCAAAAAGAUCAAACCUAUCCAUUCUGAAGGAAAUCAGCCCUGAAUGCUCACUGGAAGGACAGCUCGUGAAGCUGAGGCUCCAAUACUUUGGCCACCUCAUGAGAAGAGGUACCACUGCAGCAGGAAGGUAAACGGCCUGAAGAGAGAUGAGCAUUGCACCCCAUAGUCACCUUUGACUUAACCGUCCAGGCAUCUUUUACCUUUACCUUACCUCUCUCUGUAUAAAGGUGAUGAGGAGCUCCGCAGCCAAUAUGUGGGGUGAAGGGUGGAUGACAGAACUAGAUGUGGGGUGGUGGAUGAGUGAAUAAAUUGAUGGUGGAAGAAGUCCACUUUAAUGGUCAGACAGCGUUGUAGGCUGAUCAUAGCCACAUCUGCGACCCAGUGGCUGGCUGCAGUGGAUUGCAGGCCUGCCUGCAGAUUGGCCAAUAGUAGACCGACCUGGGGGCUGGAGUUCCCCAGAGGGUGAGACCAACCAGCCA